rnacentral:sRNA from 1 species
GGAAAAAGACAUAAUUAAAUAUGAUAUGCAGCUUUUUGUGUGUGCCUUUCAUUGAAACAUGCAGUUAUAUAAUUCAUCCUUUUUGCAUGAGUUUCUUGAAAACCGCUGGCCUGAAAUAAUCAAGCAUAAAGCACUUUGAAAGGAGAUGAGUUGUCUUACUGAUAUUCUUAGGCACCAUUCACCUAGGAAAAAUCCAGGAUAAAUUAUAACUGCUAUUCUUGCAGCCCUUGCGAUGUAUCUCAUAUUAUCUUUUUUUUUAGGGUACAGAUGGUCCUAUGGGACCCCAUGGCCCUGCAGGUCCCAAAGGAGAAAGAGGUGAAAAAGGAGCUAUGGGAGAGCCUGGACCAAGAGGGCCCUAUGGGCUGCCUGGGAAAGAUGGAGAGCCUGGUCUUGAUGGUUUCCCUGGUCCACGGGGUGAGAAGGGUGAUCUAGGAGAAAAGGGAGAAAAG